rnacentral:tRNA from 1 species
UCCCUGGAGGACUAGUGGUUAGGGCUCGGCGCUCUCACUGCCACAGCCCACGUUCGAUUCCUGGCCAGGGAC